CUAUGAACAGCUAAGGAUGAGGAAGCUUCUGGUCAGAAGAGAGAGAACCUGAAUGCCAGAGCAGCAUUGGUCACCAUGGCAAAGUACUUGCAUCUGGAAGACAACCUCAGUGGAAGUGCUGAAUGGAAUAAGUACUGUUUCCAGUGGGAAGUAUUUCCAAGACGGAGACCUUUCUUCAGGGGAUGCAACCCUCAGCAACUCUGAAGCAAAGAACAUCUUCAAGGUUUGCAGUACUGCCACUUAAGUGACUUGUAAUUCUCUAAAUGCUGAUUGUGCUAAAGAAAUAACAUUCCAUGACCAAAGAGACAACUAGUAAAAUGAAGUGAAGAAUGGACAAGGCUAUCGUAUUGCAGAAAAAUAUCUAUCCUCUAAGGAAAUAGGCAUUAGUGUGAGCAGGAUGAAGAAAUAAAUAAUCCAAUUGACUAAAUAUUUAUGAGAGAACUGUAACUUUGAUGCAUAGAUCAACUCUUGUUUAUUAAUAGAGAUGUAUAAAUACUGCAGAAUAAAAUCUAUAAUA